AUAACUCAACCAAAGAUAAUUUUCUACACAUGAAAUAAAACCCAUUUCGUGACAAUAUAUUUGCAAGGAGAAAGUACAUUGUGCAACCCUUGUAUGAUCAUUGAAAAACAUAAUCAUAAAAAUCAUUUAGAUGUCACCCACCUUUCUUCUUUUUUCUUCUAGGUCGUAAAUGAGAUGAAAUUAGUUAUUGGGUCCGGUGCCACACCUCGAUUCGAAGAUCGCAAAUUGAUGCCAUAUACGGAGGCAACGCUUAUGGAGGUUCUCCGAUAUCGUCCAAUCGCCCCUACUGGUGUUCCACAUCGGACAACCUCUGAUAUAAAGGUCAAGAGUUACGAUAUCCUUGCAGAUGUCAACAUUGCUAUCAACAUCUUGUACAUUCAUCAUAACCCUAAAAUAUGGGGUGACCCAGAAGUGUUCCGACCUGAGCGUUUCUUGACUGAGGACGGGAAGGCUGUUGUUAAACAUGAUGCCUACAUGCCAUUCGGCGCUGGGCGUCGAGUUUGCCUCGGUGAGCAAUUAGCCAAGAUGGAAAUGUUCCUUUUCUUCACCAACAUUCUUCAGCAGUUUAUAAUCACCUUACCUCCUGGAGUUCUACCAAACUAUGACUUUGGCCAUCGUGUUACCACCCUGGUUCCCAAGGCAUAUGAAAUCAUCCUAAAGGAGCGUUAGAAUGCCAAAUGAUGGCUUUGUAUCUCGCACAAUUCAUUCGUUUAAUAAUACAUGCACCACCAAUGUUGACUGUGAUAUAAUGCUUAUGAGUCAGCCAUCGCAUCUCUUCGUAAUAAGCCUAUGCAAGAAACUUCCAAAAACAAAGUCCCAAAUCAAGCGUUCAGUGGGCGUUGCAGUUGAAGGUGAGUCGUGAUUGAACACCAACAAACUACAAAUUUACGUUUAAUCAAAGAAUUGACGCUUCAUACGUUUCAAUCGAACGGAUCUUCCGCGCAUUAUUAUGAACAUGUACAUUGAACACGAUACCUGCUCAACAUCUAUAGACAUUUAUUUAGAGUCGAGUAAUAUCGUCUAUAUACACAUAGUUAUUAAGAAUACUAGCUUCUUUAGAUAAUAUUGAGUUAUAUGCCAAUUGCAACGGGGACAGAUUUCUACAGCAAAGUAAAACUGUUGAAAAUGCCCGUCAAAUCACAGUGGACAGCUUAGAGGUCAUUGUCCAAAAUUUGUUAACCGGGACAGCAGAUCAUCCUAAAGGGGCUUUCACACCGAAGGUUGCGUAGAGUUGCGUAGGGAGUACGCGAAAAUUCGCUGCGUACUCAUCGGCGUAGUCCCUGCUUAGGGGAGCAUAGUAUUCCGUAGAGUUGUUUAAUGUGUCUACGUAACGUUGCGUACGAUUGCGUAUGGCAUCUUUGCGGAAACAAAAUACAGUAGGCCUAUAUCAUUUCCUGCUUUAUAAACGUCUCAAGCAACUCUAUGCUGUUGUCCGGAACACUGUACUGCUGUGAAGUAGGAUAAAAAUGUGAUGAGUUGUCUGUUAAGUCCAUUCUAAACUAUACUGUACUACCACCAGAGGAGAUACUACGAUCGAUGAACAGGCACUCAACUCAAGCCUACAGCAUCGUGGACUUAAAGUAAAGUAAAGUAAGUAAAGUAAAGUUUUUUGGGCAAGACAUGACAUAAAGGGCUAAAUUAAUUAAAAAAUGAUGUGACCGAGGGAAGUGACCGAGCCCAAAAUAGCCUUUUAAAUAGAUCAAUCAAAUUUUUGCAACUGAUUUUGAUAUGAUAUAUGUUUUAAACAUCAUCACAAAAUCCGUCAUAACAAAUUGAUUUAUGUAUUAAAAAGCUAAUUUUGGCUCGCUCGCUUCCCUCGAUAAUAAUAAUAAUAAUAACGGUUAUUUAUAUGCGCUAUACACAAAAAGUAUCACAGCGCUUACAAUUGUCAGAAAUAAAAUAUAAAUAUAAUUCUUAAAUUCUUAAGUAACAAAAAAGUAUAGAAUUGUAUACAUGAAAUCGCAUCAACUAUUGGUGUGCUCAACUGCGCCAGAUGAGGCCUGGUGGCCUCUUGCUUACUGCUUCGAUCACUCACUUAAUUUGAAAUCAUUUUGCCCUUUUGUCGUGUCUUGCCCCGAAAACAUUAGUCUCAUUACGUCACUGACCUCCGCCCAAACUAAAAAAAAUAAUAUAAUAAUAGCUUGAUGAACGAAAAGCAAAUCAGAAAUCAGAGAGCCGACGUCAAUGUUGAUGUUUGCGGUGAGGUUGUCCGAAAACAGAAUCACGGAACGGAAAGCAUGGAAAGCGUGUUGCGAUUUGCUUUUUGCGUUUUUGCAAACAAAACCACAGAGCUGAAACCGUGUUCUGAUUUUGUAUUUGCUAUAUAAAACGCAAAUUUAGAAUGAGAAAUCAGAAAAAGUCCACUAAUUAUUUCUGAUUUCAAUUUUCUGUUUUUGAUCUACAAAAACCGAACCACGGGGCUGAUUUCCGCUUUCGAUUCUUUAUGAUUGGAACGGAAAAACGAAUUAUCCAUUAGUACCUUGAUUGUUUUGCCUGUCUCUUUCUCUUCUGAUGUUUUGGAGUUUCGUCGCUAGCUGCAUCACUAUGUUCAGAUUGUGGUGCAGUUGAAUCUCCACCUUGGUCACUUGAAACAGAAAGGACAGGAGAUUUCUUGCCCCUCUUGGUCUUAUUUGUUGGCAUCUUGCAUCAAUAUGGACAGAACAAUCAGGCAUUCAAAUUAAGUGCAGUGCUGAUUUGGUUAUGGCAGAGCUUUUAUCGUGACUGUCUGCACAAUCAGCAAAAACCUGAUGAGAAACAGUAGGAUCCAGCUUGAGUACUCCAAUGAUUAGCAAAUAUACGCAACUGUGCGCCAGGUCUACGCAAGUAUACGUCGGUCUAUACGCAAAACUACGCCAUUCCAAAAAAGGCGUUUUGAGAAACCGGGGCAUUUUGGCGUAGUGUUGCGUAGGAGUGGCGUACAGUUGCGUAGUGUUGCGCAGGCUUGCGUAUGUCCUGUGUUCUCUGGCUCUACGCCAACAGUACGCCAAAAAAUUAAACAUGUUAAAUUUUCUGCGUUCCUCCCGCGUACCCAUGCACUUGCGUAGACUAGCGUAUGCAAAACAAAUGGCGACGUAAGGUUGGGAGCGGAAGAAAAAAAAGAAGAUGUUUGUCGACUGUCUCGAGUCCGGGCCGACACGCUGUUUUGAUUCACCGAUUUUCGAAAAAGGUUGCUUUUUCAUAAAAGGGCUUUUGACAAAUUCUAAACGUAAGCGUAUACAUAGGGCAUGGGUAUGGUGUUGCGGAAACUUCGUAUGGUUUCAUUUAGAGUACGGUGUUUAGCGUUUAGAUCUUAUCCAGAAAAGCGCAUUUGAUAUUUCAAAGACGUUCAAGAAAGAUAGAAUCAACACAAAAGCUUGUCUAAACAAAUGCUUGGGAGAAAUCAGUGGAAUCGCCGUUAAUGGUACAUAAAAUCAGAUGUGUUAAACAUGUUUCCUUCUGUAAAAAAGUUAAUACUGCCAUUCUACUAAAAUUAUUUUUUGUGUGUAAUAUACGUCGUUCAGAAUAUCUUCUGGAAUUGAUCGAAGGGGUAAGACAAAUCAUCUUUAUUGCGGUACAUGAUCACGAUUCUUUCAUCCUAAUAACUUUAUGGAACACGGUUCUUACAAAUAUGAGCCUGUUUUAGAGGUAUCGUGCAAUGUUUGGGCAAAUCUAUGAGCGACCCAAACAAGAGAGCCAAAACAUCACUUUUUAUUAUCGAUAAGUUAAAUUUGUUUUAAAUUAGCGCGUGAAAAAGUUCAAGUUGGCUGUGUAUUAACUUCAGGUUGCUGAAUAAUAUGCAUGUAGUGUUGCUGAAUACAGAGGGUCAUGGGACCGAGAUAUCCUUCAGAAAGAUAUUGAUCCACAAUCGGUGCACUUCACCAAGAUGAGAUAAAUACCCAAAAGCUGUGAGCCUAGCUUAGCCUUGGUUAUAAAGGAGCGGAGCUCAAGGUGGAUAGGUGGAGGGUUCAAUCAUACACUGAACGAUAUUACUGAGGUUAAGGGUAAAGUUGCCUUAAGGAAAUGAAAGGAGUGAAAAUAUCCUUUUAAUUUCCCAUGUACAUAUACAUUUUUUUUAUUCGAUGAGCAUUUCUGUGUAUUUUGAACAUUUUGCAACUUUUUUAAGCAGAUAAUGUCAUAAAUCGGGCUCCUUACCAUUAGGUAAUGUAUUCAAUCACUUAAUAUCAGUAGCCAAUCACAAUCAAUGUUGCCUGAAUAUUUAGUUAAAAACAGUGACCAGGAGCCAAUCAAAGUUGUUCUUUUACAUUUGCAGUCCUGCAUAAGUAUUUAUGUGACGGGGCCAGAUAUUGUAGAAUGCCAAUCAAUGAACAUCAAUACAUAUCUGUUGUUGCAUGUAUAAUGAUUACAGUAUACCAUCAGUUUUAGACUUUAUUUAUUACUUGUUUUGUUUAGUUUGUUUAUUGAAACAAAAUAAAACUUCUGUGCUAAUACAUAAAAGCAUGUUUAUUGCCCAUUGAACGAACUGAAGUCACUUUUGUCAUGUGACUACUGCUCUCUAGUAAAUAUAUGAUACAUAGUCCUUCAUCAAUGAUCUGUAACAAAAAGAAAUCGUGUAUUGAUCGUAUUCAAUUGAUUGAAAUGUCCAUUCCAUAAACAAUCCCAGUUGGUUUGAAUGAUUUUGAAAAGAAUAAAAACGUGUAUUGCUGACCUUAUGAACAAGUUCAUGUACAUCAGCUGUCAAAUUAUUAGAUUA